ACUCAAAUGAAUUGACGGGGGCCCGCACAAGCGGUGGAGCAUGUGGUUUAAUUCGACGCAACGCGAAGAACCUUACCUGGGCUUGAACUGCUAGGGACCGGUGCAGAGAUGUGCCUUUUCGCAAGAACCGUAGCAGAGGUGCUGCAUGGCUGUCGUCAGCUCGUGUCGUGAGAUGUUGGGUUAAGUCCCGCAACGAGCGCAACCCUUACCUGUAGUUGCCAGCGAGUCAUGUCGGGAACUCUACAGGGACUGCCCGGGUUAACCGGGAGGAAGGUGGGGAUGAUGUCAAGUCCUCAUGGCCCUUAUGUCCAGGGCUACACACGUGCUACAAUGGGUGGUACAAACCGUUGCGAAGUCGCGAGAUGGAGCUAAUCGGAGAAAGCCAUCCUCAGUUCGGAUUGCAGUCUGCAACUCGACUGCAUGAAGGUGGAAUCGCUAGUAAUCGUGUAUCAGAAUGAUACGGUGAAUACGUUCCCGGGCCUUGUACACACCGCCCGU
rnacentral:rRNA from 1 species